CUUAUGUGUGACAGAACCACCCCCCCCCCCCCCCCCAAUUGCCACCUUUGUAUUCUACCAAGGUUGGGUGGCCAAAGAAGCUAAGAAAAAAAUCAGUUGGUGAAUUGAGUUAAGAUGAAAUUUCAAAAUCCAUAAAGCAUAUUCAACUACAUUGUUCUCUAUGUAGGCAAGUUGGACAUAAUUCAAGGAAGUGUCCAUCUAAUCCAAAUAAAAAUUUGAAGCCAAAGAAGAGGGUCAUUUAUGCCACCAAACAAAUCCCCAUU